GAGCGAACAGACGAGGAGCUUGCUCCUCUGACGUUAGCGGCGGACGGGUGAGUAACACGUGGAUAACCUACCUAUAAGACUGGGAUAACUUCGGGAAACCGGAGCUAAUACCGGAUAAUAUAUUGGACCGCAUGGUUCAAUAGUGAAAGACGGUUUUGCUGUCACUUAUAGAUGGAUCCGCGCCGCAUUAGCUAGUUGGUAAGGUAACGGCUUACCAAGGCAACGAUGCGUAGCCGACCUGAGAGGGUGAUCGGCCACACUGGAACUGAGACACGGUCCAGACUCCUACGGGAGGCAGCAGUAGGGAAUCUUCCGCAAUGGGCGAAAGCCUGACGGAGCAACGCCGCGUGAGUGAUGAAGGUCUUCGGAUCGUAAAACUCUGUUAUUAGGGAAGAACAAAUGUGUAAGUAACUAUGCACGCCUUGACGGUACCUAAUCAGAAAGCCACGGCUAACUACGUGCCAGCAGCCGCGGUAAUACGUAGGUGGCAAGCGUUAUCCGGAAUUAUUGGGCGUAAAGCGCGCGUAGGCGGUUUUUUAAGUCUGAUGUGAAAGCCCACGGCUCAACCGUGGAGGGUCAUUGGAAACUGAAAAACUUGAGUGCAGAAGAGGAAAGUGGAAUUCCAUGUGUAGCGGUGAAAUGCGCAGAGAUAUGGAGGAACACCAGUGGCGAAGGCGACUUUCUGGUCUGUAACUGACGCUGAUGUGCGAAAGCGUGGGGAUCAAACAGGAUUAGAU
rnacentral:rRNA from 1 species